rnacentral:rRNA from 1 species
ACUUGGUGUUACUGCGAAGGGGGGACGGAGAAGGCUAUGUUGGCCGGGCGACGGUUGUCCCGGUUUAAGCGUGUAGGCUGGUUUUCCAGGCAAAUCCGGAGAAUCAAGGCUGAGGCGUGAUGACGAGGCACUACGGUGCUGAAGCAACAAAUGCCCUGCUUCCAGGAAAAGCCUCUAAGCAUCAGGUAACAUCAAAUCGUACCCCAAACCGACACAGGUGGUCAGGUAGAGAAUACCAAGGCGCUUGAGAGAACUCGGGUGAAGGAACUAGGCAAAAUGGUGCCGUAACUUCGGGAGAAGGCACGCUGAUAUGUAGGUGAAGCGACUUGCUCGUGGAGCUGAAAUCAGUCGAAGAUACCAGCUGGCUGCAACUGUUUAUUAAAAACACAGCACUGUGCAAACACGAAAGUGGACGUAUACGGUGUGACGCCUGCCCGGUGCCGGAAGGUUAAUUGAUGGGGUCAGCGCAAGCGAAGCUCUUGAUCGAAGCCCCGGUAAACGGCGGCCGUAACUAUAACGGUCCUAAGGUAGCGAAAUUCCUUGUCGGGUAAGUUCCGACCUGCACGAAUGGCGUAAUGAUGGCCAGGCUGUCUCCACCCGAGACUCAGUGAAAUUGAACUCGCUGUGAAGAUGCAGUGUACCCGCGGCAAGACGGAAAGACCCCGUGAACCUUUACUAUAGCUUGACACUGAACACUGGUCCUUGAUGUGUAGGAUAGGUGGGAGGCUUUGAAGUGUGGACGCCAGUCUGCAUGGAGCCGUCCUUGAAAUACCACCCUUUAAUGGCUGGUGUUCUAACGUGGGCCCGUAAUCCGGGUUGCGGACAGUGUCUGGUGGGUAGUUUGACUGGGGCGGUCUCCUCCUAAAGAGUAACGGAGGAGCACGAAGGUUGGCUAAUCCUGGUCGGACAUCAGGAGGUUAGUGCAAUGGCAUAAGCCAGCUUGACUGCGAGCGUGACGGCGCGAGCAGGUGCGAAAGCAGGUCAUAGUGAUCCGGUGGUUCUGAAUGGAAGGGCCAUCGCUCAACGGAUAAAAGGUACUCCGGGGAUAACAGGCUGAUACCGCCCAAGAGUUCAUAUCGACGGCGGUGUUUGGCACCUCGAUGUCGGCUCAUCACAUCCUGGGGCUGAAGUAGGUCCCAAGGGUAUGGCUGUUCGCCAUUUAAAGUGGUACGCGAGCUGGGUUUAGAACGUCGUGAGACAGUUCGGUCCCUAUCUGCCGUGGGCGCUGGAGAACUGAGGGGGGCUGCUCCUAGUACGAGAGGACCGGAGUGGACGCAUCACUGGUGUUCGGGUUGUCAUGCCAAUGGCACUGCCCGGUAGCUAAAUGCGGAAGAGAUAAGUGCUGAAAGCAUCUAAGCACGAAACUUGCCCCGAGAUGAGUUCUCCCUGAGACUUAGAGUCUCCUGAAGGAACGUUGAAGACGACGACGUUGAUAGGCCGGGUGUGUAAGCGCAGCGAUGCGUUGAGCUAACCGGUACUAAUGAACCGUGAG